rnacentral:rRNA from 1 species
UGGCGAUUUUCUACACCCUGUCAGAGAGAUGUGUAUUUAAACGAAAUUGCACGAAUAUCUUACCUUAUUUUGGUUAUCGGGGAUAACUUGAGCUAGUCUCAAGGUUCAAAUCGGCCGACCAUCCUGUACACCUCCGUCGGAAGGUGUUUUUUUAAAAAAUUUCCCUUUAUCUUACCACAGAAAUAAGUCAGGUCAAGGUGCAGAUAAUAAUAAGGCCUAUAUGCAUUAAUCAUUAAUAGUUUUUGUUCAAAAUUUAAAAAUUUAGAACAAUAAAUUUGAAAGUAAGAAAAUUUCAAAAUAAUUUUCUGAAGAAGGCAAUAGUGAACGCACACAUCGCCCG